UACGUAGGGUGCGAGCGUUAAUCGGAAUUACUGGGCGUAAAGCGUGCGCAGGCGGUUUUGUAAGCCAGAUGUGAAAUCCCCGGGCUUAACCUGGGAAUGGCAUUUGGGACUGCAAGGCUCGAGUGCGGCAGAGGAGACUGGAAUUCCUGGUGUAGCAGUGAAAUGCGUAGAUAUCAGGAGGAACACCGAUGGCGAAGGCAGGUCUCUGGGCUAUAACUGACGCUCAUGCACGAAAGCGUUGGGAGCAAACAGG
rnacentral:rRNA from 1 species